UGGACACAGGCAGCUGGGAUGGAAGGAUC
rnacentral:piRNA from 1 species